CACGCCGUAAACGAUGAGUACUAGGUGUUGGGGUCGACAGGCUUCAGUGCCGCAGUUAACACAUUAAGUACUCCGCCUGGGGAGUACGGUCGCAAGACUGAAACUCAAAGGAAUUGACGGGGGCCCGCACAAGCAGCGGAGCAUGUGGUUUAAUUCGAAGCAACGCGAAGAACCUUACCAGGGCUUGACAUCUCUCAGACAGUCUUAGAGAUAAGGCCUUCCCUUCGGGGACUGAGAUGACAGGUGG
rnacentral:rRNA from 1 species